ACUCCUACGGGAGGCAGCAGUGGGGAAUAUUGCACAAUGGGCGAAAGCCUGAUGCAGCGACGCCGCGUGAGGGAUGACGGCCUUCGGGUUGUAAACCUCUUUCAGCAGGGAAGAAGCGAAAGUGACGGUACCUGCAGAAGAAGCGCCGGCUAACUACGUGCCAGCAGCCGCGGUAAUACGUAGGGCGCAAGCGUUGUCCGGAAUUAUUGGGCGUAAAGAGCUCGUAGGCGGCUUGUCACGUCGGUUGUGAAAGCCCGGGGCUUAACCCCGGGUCUGCAGUCGAUACGGGCAGGCUAGAGUUCGGUAGGGGAGAUCGGAAUUCCUGGUGUAGCGGUGAAAUGCGCAGAUAUCAGGAGGAACACCGGUGGCGAAGGCGGAUCUCUGGG
rnacentral:rRNA from 1 species